rnacentral:lncRNA from 1 species
GAAAUGGAUACAGGCUGUGGAAGAACUCAAAAUGCAAUUCAAAAAACAAUUAAGAGAGGCUGAAGACAGUUGGGGGAAAAAAAACUUAAAAACUAAGAUAAGUCAUCUGGAAAUAGGCACUUGAACUAAAAGGAGAAAAUAGUGUCUUGAAAGCCAAAAUCAACCAGCUGGAAAAUGAGGCAAAGGAGAUGAAAGAUGAGGCAAAGAACAUGAAAGAUGAGGCAAAGUAGAUGAAAGAUGAGGUAAAGAGGAUGAAAAAUGACCUCCAUAGAAAGUCAGACCAUAAAGAGAAAGAUGACCAAAAGCCAGGGAAGAAAUCCAGUCUUUAAGAAUGAGAAUACAACAACUAGAACUAAGUGAACUCAUAAAGCUGCAGGACACUAUAAAAGAAGACCAAAAGAAUGAAAACAUUGAGGAAAAUAUGAAGCAUCUCCUUCACAAAACAGAGGAUUUAUAAAAUUGUUUGAGGAGAGACAAUUUAAGAAUCAUUGGUCUACCAGAAGACCGUGACCAAAGAAAAAUCCUGGACACAAUACUAUAGGACAUUAUUCAAGAAAACUUCCCUGAUAUUCUAAAACAAGAGGAAAAAGUUGAGAUUGAAAGAAUCCACAGACCACCUCCUGCACUUAAUCCCCAACUGACAACACCCAGGAAUGUUAUAGCCAAAUUCAAGAAUUAUCAGACCAAAUAAAAGAUAUUACAAGCUGCCAAGAAGAAGUCAUUCAUUCAAAUACUAUGAAACCACAGUGAAGAUAAGGCAGGAUCUGGCUGCAACUACACUGAAGGACUGAAAGUCAUGGAAUAUGAUAUUCUGGAAAACAAAGGAACUAGGUCUACAACCAAGAAUCAACUACACAGCAAAACUGACUAUAUUCUUGCAGGGGAAAGUGUGGUCAUUCAAGAAAAUAGAAGAAUUCCAAGAAUUUGUAAAGAAAAGACCAGACCUGAACAGAAAAUUUGAUGUCCAAGCAAGAACUCAAGAGAAUCAUCAAAAGAUCUACCAGGAGACCAUCACUUUCAGUAGUAAAUCAUUCUUCUGUUCCUUUACUGUAUGACAGUACAGGAUAUCUUCCAAAACCCCAUUGAAAAUAUGAGCAUUAUCAAUGGCCCAAGUAGGCAUUUCAGGAUCUGAGCUGAGAAGUUCACUGAAUAGCAGAGAAACUCCAAGGCGAAGUCAAAUAGCCUCUAUUUACAUAAGCAUCUAACAAGAAGUGAUUUCUACAAGAUCUAUAUGUAUAUCUACACACAUAGUUCUUUUCAACUAAUGUAUACCUACUUAAUUUAUCUAUCUACUUAAUAUAUGCCUAUGUAAUAUAUCCAUUUAAUAUACUGCAUAUAUAAAUGAAAAAUAAGAAGAGAAAGAGAAUUAGAAGCACCAGAGGAAGAGGGAGAAAGGGAAGGAAGAGAGGGAUUAUAAGGGAAGUGAAAGGAAAAGAAGACAGGAGAGGGAAGAAAUGAAGGGAAGAAAUGAAGAAGAUAGGAGGGAGAAAAGUAUACCAACAUCAAUAAACCUUCUGAAAAAAAAAAAAACUGCCCUAUC